rnacentral:rRNA from 1 species
GGAGUCUGGGCCGUAUCUCAGUCCCAAUGUGGCCGUUCAACCUCUCAGUCCGGCUACUGAUCAUUGGCUUGGUAUGCCGUUACCACACCAACUACCUAAUCAGUCGCGAGCCCAUCUUUCGGCGAAGUUUCCUCCAUUUGAUCUUAACAAGAUGCCUCAUUUAGAUAUUAUGCGGUAUUACCGUCCGUUUCCAGACGCUAUCCCUCCCCCAAAGCCAGGUUGCUCACGUGUUACUCACCCGUCCGCCACUAUGAUUUAAAAAGCAAGCUCCUUAAAUCACCGUUCGACUUGCAUGUGUUAGGCGCGCCGCCAGCGUUGUCCUGAGCCACUGAUCAAACUACU